UCUUUCCUGCGCUGUGAUUGGCGAUGCCUAUAUUAGGCGAAGACCCAAUCCCAUAUAAAGGCAGGAUAGACUAUUCACAUGCAGUUUGACGGACUCCUCCCCACAGCCGGUUCGUCGACGCCAUGGCUACGGAAACACAGAAGAUCCACAGAAAGACCGCCAGCAGGUUUUCGGGGUGUAGAAGAGAGACCGAGUAUUUACCUCGUUUGCGUUUACAGGGAGUAUAGAAUUCGAAGAUUGCCCUUUUAGUGUCAUGAAGAUUUCGUAUUUUAUUUUGCUUUGUGAAACUGCGAGAAGUUGUUGCUGCGUAGGGACGAAUGUGAGUUGUCUGCGUUUUUGCACGUGUAUCACUCUUUGUCAUGCUGAGGUCCGUUCUUCUCGCAGACACUGGCGUGCCGGGCAUUGUGUAUGGGUUAUGGAAGAAAGCAUGCCUCACUGCGAGAAUAGACGCUUAUUUUGGGCGUUUGUUAGACAUCACAGGUAUAUGCAGUACUGUCUGACAGAACGUCGACGGAGAAGGCAAGUCACACCGCCGGCACGGCCGACCCCAGCAUGACUGACGCAGCAGCCUUGUGAAUGAGCCGGACGUUCCAUAGCAGAGCACCAGUAACACUGUUUUUGAGUGAGACUCACCAGGACAAGUCUGCGAUAUCUACGACCUUCUGAGAACUGGUAGGGAAACUUGCCGACAACAGAGAAGAUAGAGUAGUUUCCUACGGGCGUAGGAUUUACAAGCCAAGCAGGUACGCAAGGUUUUGAGCUCGCCGCCAUUUUUGGCGUCUUGUGGAAUUUUCCAUUUUGAUUUGUCUUCCUACGUUGGCUGUUUUUCUAGUGGAUCCCUCGGCUGUUUUCUUUCUUGUUCCUUCAUGAUUUUAUUUUCCUGUUUUCCCCUUUUGUAUGAUUUUGGUGUGUUUUGUUGGUCAGCAACUAUUCUGUCGUUCAUUUCGUUUAGCGACUCGUAAUUUGCAUAUGUUUGCGCAUCGCACAUAUUUCGCGUGCGCAGGUGUGAGUGAUUCUAUUUGGUAAAAUAGGCUUGGUAUAAUUAAUUUUGUGUUGUCUCAUUUGAGUUAGGUAUGUUGAUACAGCUGAGCCACCGCUAGGACUGCCGUUUACCCCGUCUUUUCGCCAUAGGAGCCUUUGUGAAGCGGUACAACGUUGUUCCAGUUUCCGCACGCUCGGAGCAGAGCCCGACCUUUUUUAUCAAGAAAGAGUCGGAGGCUUCAACUUAUCACUGGUAGCUCUAUGGUUAGGUUCGGCGAUUCUGGGCAUUGCAUUUUGUGGACCAGCCAGCAUUCAGCAACCCGAAAAGCUGAGGGACCAGGCCUCAAGACGCUCGGACAGCUGUCAACCACUGCGGCAGUUUUCCUAAGGAAGCAUUCAGUACAACGCGCGUGGGUGUGAUGCGAGGACGUCUGAAAAUACCACCUCAAGUUCAGCAACUUAGACCCACCAGCCAGCUGAGAAGUACACGCAGCAAACCAUAUGGGAGGACGGCGCACAGGCAGGGAUGGUGGCCAAGCAAAAGGAUCAAGAAGUUUAAAACUAGACUUAAAAUUCAGAAACAGAGAGACAACAGCCCCAGAAUUUUUUUACUCUCUCGUACGUUCGAAUUGUGACCUGAAGUUUCAUUUUGCCUUAAAGUAACAGAAGAUGUUAGAGGGCGUCUGUUAAACGCUUUCUUCGUAAAAAAAAAAGAACAUCUAUACUGUCUUAAAGUUCACUGUAGGUAUGACCACUGUAUUUGCUUGUUUUUAAUUAGAACACAUCAACGUCAGAAGUUGUCCAGGAAGUGACAUGUUUUUCGUUGUAAUGUUGAGAAACAACUAGUUAUUAAAUCGGUUUGCUGUUUUCGUCUGUCUCCAUUUUCUUUACUUGGUAGUACGUUCCAGCGCUUAUGGUUUAUAAGUAAUUUGAAAAGGAGCAUGUUUAAUAUAAAGUGCCAUGAAUAACUACAGGUUCGUGUAUCUUGGGUAGUAAUUUGUUGAUAACUUGACGAGGCACGAAAGUUAAAAGGCAGCAGUUAUUUUGUCGUUUUAUCGAAACAUUUAGGCCAAAGUCUAAUUUUGCUUCGUAGGUAGAUCUGACAUGUUUAGCUGUAAUGAGUCCAAAGAUGACGCUAUAAAAGUUUCAGGUUAAUAUAGCCAGUAUUAAAAGGUCACUGCUUACUUUCUAACUGUCAGCCUUUAUUGGCACACACAGGGUUAAGGCUUAUUUAUA